AGUCCACAGGACAUCGACCACAUGUACAGCAAGAGGCCUUACAGCUUUCCACCCAGAGAGCAUGUUAAUGUGAGUGAAGAUUAACCCAAGAGAACAACAUAUCCAGUGUUCACAGCUGUGCACUAAGCCAUGACUUUGUGUGUCUUGAUUAAGGACUAUAAUGACAGCAUGGACUAACAUGAUGUGGUCACCACAACCAGAGACGUUGGGAUCCUGAGUGAAGACGCAUCUUUCCACAGGCUUGUGAUUUUAGGAAAGGGCUCAGCAAGCUGAACACCAUAGAAGAGUCACUAGUGACCUUCAUGUAACGUUCAUCACUCAGGAUAACGGUCUGCUGCAACAUCUUGAAGCGGUCAUCACAUGAAAAGUUGCAUCCUCCUGGGCAACAUCAAAGUGCAGGGUGAUCAUCUUUGAGGAGGAUGAGCAGCUGGACAGAGUGCUGGGCUUCUUCACAAGCCUGGUUGAAGCACAGACAACCAGGUGUCACAAUCACGUGGCAUUUGUUAUGGAUGUGCUUCUGCCAGAGGCAACAGUCCACGCCCUUUCAGCUGUCCAUGCAUGUUCCAUUGACAGAGCCACAGAAGUGUAUAAAUGUGGACUGCAGUAUGACUUGAGUGAAAAACGGCUGUUGGCUCAUUACAUGACAAACAACAUGAGCAAGGAGGCAAAACAGCAACUAGAAAAAUAUGCUGAAAAACUCAGAAGAGCUCUGGACUCUGAGGAGCUUUUAAAGAGGCUUUAGUAUGUAUGUACGGUGAAUUAAAAAAUAGUCUGUGAAAUGAUAAUGUUUUAUUUUAUUGCCAAUAAAAGUUGUUGCUGGCUAAUUCAUUUGUCUCAACUUUUGUGUUUUGAGGUACAUAUUUUAAAGACCUGUGUAUGGUCAUAUUUAUAAAUACAUAAAUACAUUUUAUUUGUGUCAAAGGGCCAGCAGUCUUUUCUGUUAACCCAUAAGAAAUCAUCACCUUAGAGUGAUAAUUAUGGCAUCUGAUGUAGUAGGCCAAGCUCUGUGACAGUGUGGCUCUUACAAAAACGGCUGGUGGAAACAACAUUUUAAUCGAAAUGACUACUACUAAUUAUUAGGGCCCGAGCAGGGAACCUGCGAGGUCCCUAUUGAAAUUGUAAUGAUUAUUCUUCUUCUUUUUUUUUUUCCUUUGUCGAAAAUGAUCGCAUUUUUCACUGCCUGAACAUAUCCCAAAACUCACCAAACUUGGAAUAUAAGUCAGACCUGGCGAAAAAUUUUAUAAUCUAUUGUCGUCCUGAAUUUCCACCACUAGGUGGCGCUGUUAUUAAGGAAAGCGCGUUUUGGCUAAUAACUCCCAUAAACUUUGUCGCACAUUCAAAAACCUUACAUCCACGCGUUCAGUGGAUUGUGCUGAAUCUCGUGGUAUAGGCCACGCCCAUUUCCGCCUACCGUUUUUUUUCGCUACGUCGCAAAAUGUUGAAAACCUACUUUUUCGAACUCCUCCCAGGCGAUUUCACCGAUUUGCACGAAACUUGGCACACAGCAUCUGUGGACCCUCCUGACAAAAAGUUAAGGUCCCUAUUGAAAUUGUAAUGAUUAUUCUUCUUCUUUUUUUUUUCCUUUGUCGAAAAUGAUCGCAUUUUUCACUGCCUGAACAUAUCCCAAAACUCACCAAACUUGGAAUAUAAGUCAGACCUGGCGAAAAAUUUUAUAAUCUAUUGUCGUCCUGAAUUUCCACCACUAGGUGGCGCUGUUAUUAAGGAAAGCGCGUUUUGGCUAAUAACUCCCAUAAACUUUGUCGCACAUUCAAAAACCUUACAUCCACGCGUUCAGUGGAUUGUGCUGAAUCUCGUGGUAUAGGCCACGCCCAUUUCCGCCUACCGUUUUUUUUCGCUACGUCGCAAAAUGUUGAAAACCUACUUUUUCGAACUCCUCCCAGGCGAUUUCACCGAUUUGCACGAAACUUGGCACACAGCAUCUGUGGACCCUCCUGACAAAAAGUUAUUAAAGGAUUCUAAUUAAAAUAAAUAAUUUUGAAGUUAUUAAAUAACAAAUUCCUGCAGAUUUGGCUCAAAACAGGAAGUGUUGGAUAUUUCCACAGUAGUCUUAUCAAAUGACAUGAAACUCAGGAUACUACUUCCCCAUGAGCCCCUGAGGCCCUGUGCAAAAUUUUAGGUGAUGACCACAAGGUGGCGCUCUUUAAAUUGAUGUAUUUUAUAUCUCCACAACGGUGCAUCGGAAUAAGACGAAACUUGGUAGAUUUAUUGUCAGUGCCCUCCUGAGGACAUCUGACAAAGGGUUUACCGAUCCAACACUAGGUGGCGCUCUGGCGUCACUUUAAUUGUAUAAUUGGCCCUGUGCCCACACCAUAACACUUAUGGAAAUGAAAUUCAUAGAGGUGCUAUAGAAUGGCCCCUGUGACUCACUCACCGAAAAUGACCACCAGGUGGCGCUAUUUUCAAUGCAAAAGCGUUUUUGGCUCAUAACUCCCACUUAAUAUGUUGCAUAUUAUAAAACCUCAUCCCUUCGUGUUCCCUGCAUUCAGCUGAAUUGUUUGGUGUAGGCCACGCCCACUUUUGCAGUAACUUUCCGUUUGCAAAAUCGCGACAAAAGAAAAACGUACUUUUUCGAACUCCUCCUAGAGAAUUUGACCAAUUUGCACCAAACUUUGCAUGUAGCAUCUGUAGACCCUCCUGACAAAAAGUUAUCAAAAGAAUUUUGAUAGGCCUUAAAACGCCUGAAAUAUAACAUGACAAAUUCCUGCAUAUUGUGUUGAAAACAGUCAAUCUUGCAUAUUUUUACAAAAUACUAUCCGAUCAUCACAUAAAUGUUCAUAAUUGUGUGGUAUCGCCUAUUGAUGGUCUGUGUAAAAUUUGGUGCAAAUCGGCCCUUAGAUGGCGCUCUGGUCGCAGUCUAAUCAUUUUGAAUGGAAAGUAAAUGGGGAAAUCUUCAAGUCCUCUUCAAAACUCAUCGACCUUCAACCUCUCCUUAUCCCUCAUACUUUGAGCUAGACACACCAUUCUAACUUUUAAAGAGUCAGAAGACCUCAAACUAUUGGGCAUGUAUUCAGUUUUUAAAGCACACGUUAGCCACACCUGGCCUGCUAUCAUCAUCAACAGCGUCAGCAACAGAGUUUUGUCCAGUGUUAGUUUUGUAGAAGCGUGUGCCUUUUAGAGAUGCUUCAUUAGAUCAGAGUUGCUUACAAUGGACGUGGACAAAUGAGAUUAAAACAGUGUCUGUACUUCCAUUUUGAAAACAUCAACUUUCCCUCCGGACUCGCCAUAGCCGCAGUUCCCCUCUGCUAGUUUGAGUGUGUGAUGCUGCUGUGUGCGUGUGUGGCUUGUGUGUAAACAGAACAUUGCCACUGAUUGGCUUAAGAACUCUCACUCAAUGUUAGGGAGCCAAUCAUCAUCACUUAUGCGGUUGUCUCGCUCCUCCCUCCUCCCUCACCGGAGGAAAAAAAAUUUCAGACCAUCGACUCAGUCUUUGUCCGGGGAAUUAUGCAGCAGUUCGCACAAUUUUUCUGACUUCAGCGUGCAUUAUUCACACCGACAAUAGCAGGCCACCGAAUUAUAAAGCAACGACUUCCUCAGCGGAAGGUGUUGCUUGAGCAAGCCCCGACGGCAGCAAGCCCCGACGGCAGCAUGCAUCGACAGCAGCAGGCCCCGACGCGCGUGGACUGCGAGGGCCCGUUCAACGCUGCUUGCAGCUUUAAUUAUUAUUAUUACUGUAAAUAUUUUAUUUUAUUGAGUUUAAAAUAACCUUGUGCACAUACAUUAGUCACUUAUAUAAAAAAUGAAAAGAUGCAUGCACCAGAUUUAGCAGGCCUAUCUAAUCUUUUAUCAGAUUAAUCUUUUAUCCCAAUCUUUUAUUUUUUUUAUUACUUAACUUUCUAUUUUUGUAUAUAUUUAUUGUUUCAAGCACAUUGUUUGCAUUGAAAAGCAUUUAAUGUUGUGAAUCAACCGUUAAAGUUGUUAAAAAUGAUCUGGUUAUUGCUUCGUUUCCUUUGUGUUUGCUUUCUAAGUGCUCAGGGCCUCCACAGCCACCGUAGUGUUGUAUGGGCGUGUUUUGUAGGGGGCGUGUUUUGUAAUGGGCGUGGUUUGGAGCGGCUCUGGCUUGGCUGCGGCUGCAGCUAGACCCUUCUCUUGAUUUGGGCGGGGUCUGAGCCGGUCGGCCAUGAUGGUAGGAGACGCUAUCGGUUGUCAGGGGCAACGCCUGCAGAACUUCACAGAGGCGCGACUAAACAGUCCAGAGCUCUUUAAUUUCUGCGCAUUUAUUAUUUCGGCGGGACAGAGACGGAUCUACGAAUACGAGAAAGAAAAGGAAGAAAGUAAAGCAAUGCAAAAAGAUAAGGCGAAAGAAAAGGGACCUUACAGGAACAAGCUCACACCAAGCGCAUAACAGCGGUAUUUGGAGAAGCUCUCGGACAUCCAAAAUAUCGACCCAUACGAGCUCCCUGCAGAGGAAUGGCACAGAGACCUGGAUCAUUUACCUCCAUGCACAUACAUGGACAUCGUCAGUUACCUUGUUUUUGGUGUAAGUUACUACACAAUGCAGGAGUUUAAAAGCCACAAGUCUUUGGAAAGUUACGAGACUUUCUGCUGUGGCUGGGUGCAGGACUUGGCCAUCUACAAGCCUCCAGGUGGUGAAAACAGCGUUGUACUGGCAAAAAGACAUUUUUAGAGAACGUACCCGAGUGUAAAUGCAGAGGCAAUACUGAAGCAGUUUUUAACGCAGCAGUGACUACCAGGCAUGGUAAAACAGUGCGGAAUUGUAAAAACCUCCUCUACUACAGAGUUAAGAACACACGUAAACAAUCGUGUUUUGCCGCCGGCAUCCUGCCAUCAUGGCGGAGAGGGGGAAGAUCCCGCGAGAUCGAGGGAGGGGCUUUGUACCAUGACGACAACUCCUCACUCUCAAUAAGUAAAAAUAUAUUUGCGAGAGACUUUUCAUUUCGAAUAUUACGGACUUUUGGAAGAAAGUGUGCUCAUUCAUUUAUAGGCUAAAUAUAAAUAGCUAUUUUAUCAUAUUUGUCUUAAAUCCAGCUUCAUGAUAGCAGGUAAAGCACAUCCUGACAGCUUGGAAUACUACUGUCAGAUAUUGUUUACUCCUG
rnacentral:lncRNA from 1 species